UAAAGAUUCAUCGCUGAUAGAUAGGCAUGCGUUCCAUUAGGCAGUUGGCGGGGUAACGGCCCACCAAACCGACGAUGGAUAGGGGUUCUGAGAGGAAGGUCCCCCACAUUGGUACUGAGACACGGACCAAACUCCUACGGGAGGCAGCAGUGAGGAAUAUUGGUCAAUGGGCGUAAGCCUGAACCAGCCAAGUCGCGUGAGGGAUGAAGGUUCUAUGGAUCGUAAACCUCUUUUAUAAGGGAAUAAAGUGCGGGACGUGUCCCGUUUUGUAUGUACCUUAUGAAUAAGGAUCGGCUAACUCCGUGCCAGCAGCCGCGGUAAUACGGAGGAUCCGAGCGUUAUCCGGAUUUAUUGGGUUUAAAGGGUGCGUAGGCGGCCUUUUAAGUCAGCGGUGAAAGUCUGUGGCUCAACCAUAGAAUUGCCGUUGAAACUGGGAGGCUUGAGUAUGUUUGAGGCAGGCGGAAUGCGUGGUGUAGCGGUGAGAUGCUUAGAUAUCACGCAGAACCCCGAUUGCGAAGGCAGCCUGCCAAGCCAUGACUGACGCUGAUGCACGAAAGCGUGGGGAUCAAACAGGAUUAGAUACCCUGGUAGUCCACGCAGUAAACGAUGAUCACUAGCUGUUUGCGAUACACAGUAA
rnacentral:rRNA from 1 species